UACGUAGGGUGCAAGCGUUGUCCGGAAUUAUUGGGCGUAAAGAGCUUGUAGGCGGUUUGUCGCGUCUGCUGUGAAAUUUCGGGGCUCAACCCCGAACUUGCAGUGGGUACGGGCAGACUAGAGUGUGGUAGGGGAGACUGGAAUUCCUGGUGUAGCGGUGAAAUGCGUAGAUAUCUGGAGGAACACCGGUGGCGAAGGCGGCAUCCUGGACCAACACUGACACUGAGGAGCGAAAGCCAGGGGAGCAAACGGG
rnacentral:rRNA from 1 species